CCUACGGGUGGCAGCAGUGAGGAAUAUUGGUCAAUGGACGAGAGUCUGAACCAGCCAAGUAGCGUGAAGGAUGACUGCCCUAUGGGUUGUAAACUUCUUUUAUAUGGGAAUAAAACGUUCCACGUGUGGGAUUUUGUAUGUACCAUAUGACUAAGGAUCGGCUAACUCCGUGCCAGCAGCCGCGGUAAUACGGAGGAUCCGAGCGUUAUCCGGAUUUAUUGGGUUUAAAGGGAGCGUAGGUGGAUUGUUAAGUCAGUUGUGAAAGUUUGCGGCUCAACCGUAAAAUUGCAGUUGAAACUGGCAGUCUUGAGUGCAGGAGAGGUGGGCGGAAUUCGUGGUGUAGCGGUGAAAUGCUUAGAUAUCACGAAGAACUCCGAUUGCGAAGGCAGUUCACUGGACUGCAACUGACACUGAGGCUCGAAAGUGUGGGUAUCAAACAGGAUUAGAUACCCGGGUAGUC
rnacentral:rRNA from 1 species